GACGAACGCUGGCGGCGUGCUUAACACAUGCAAGUCGAACGGAAAGGCCCCUUCGGGGGUACUCGAGUGGCGAACGGGUGAGUAACACGUGAGUAACCUGCCCUUGACUUCGGGAUAACUUCAGGAAACUGGGGCUAAUACCGGAUAGGAAUCCUUGCUGCAUGGUGGGGGUUGGAAAGCUUCGGCGGUUUUGGAUGGACUCGCGGCUUAUCAGCUUGUUGGUGGGGUAGUGGCUUACCAAGGCUUUGACGGGUAGCCGGCCUGAGAGGGCGACCGGCCACAUUGGGACUGAGAUACGGCCCAGACUCCUACGGGAGGCAGAAGUGGGGAAUAUUGCACAAUGGGCGGAAGCCUGAUGCAGCGACGCCGCGUGCGGGAUGACGGCCUUCGGGUUGUAAACCGCUUUCAGCAGGGGCGAAGCUUGUGGUGACGGUACCUGCAGAAGAAGCACCGGCUAACUACGUG
rnacentral:rRNA from 1 species